GUGCUUGCUUCAGCAGCACUUAUACUAAAAUUGGAAGGAUACAGAGAAAAUUAGCAUGGCCUCUGUGCAAGGAUGACACGCAAAUUCAUGAAGACUUCCAUAUUUUU
rnacentral:snRNA from 1 species